rnacentral:rRNA from 1 species
GACGAACGCUGGCGGCGUGCUUAACACAUGCAAGUCGAACGGAAAGGCCCUGCUUUUGCGGGUUUCUCGAGUGGCGAACGGGUGAGUAAAACAUGAGUAACCUGCCCUUGACUUUGUGAUAACUUCAGGAAAAUGGGGCUAAUACCGGAUAGGAUCUCCUGCUGCAUGGUGGGGGUUGGAAAGAUUCGGCGGUUGGGGAUGGACUCGCGGCUUAUCAGCUUGAUGGUGGGGUAGUGGCUUACCAGGGCUUUGAAGGGUAGCCUGCCUGAGAGGGUGACCGGCCACAAUGGGCCUGAGGUACGGCCCAGACUCCAACGUGAGGCAGCGGUGGGGAAUAUUGCACAAUGGGCGGAAGCCUGAUGCAGAAACGUCGCGUGCGGGAUGACGGCCUUCGGGUUGUAAACAGCUUUCGCCUGUGACGAAGCGUGAGUGACGGUAAUGGGUAAAGAAGCACCGGCUAACUACGUG